UCAUGUCAUAGACAAGUCAAAAACAAAAUUACAUAUAUAAUUAAUUAAAUAACUUUUGAAUUAAUUGCCAGUAUUUAUUAUAAUAUAUAUUUCUUACAAAAAAAUGCAAUCGGAUUUAUCAAUCUAAUUUAAUAAUACUAGAUAUUUAAACUUAGCGCCAUUUGCAUUAGUAUCAUUCGUUCUAUUGUAGAUGUCAGAAGCAUACAGAAAUCAAUUUUGAUUCAAGAUAGUGGACUGUGUUUUACAUUACAGGAUAUGAAUAGACAUGGAUUAAAAGAUUUUUGUAGAAUAAAGUGAGACGUAGAACUCAAUAAAAAAUCAUUUCAAAAAUGUGAAAAAUAAUCAUAUAUAUAUAGAAAUUCAUGUGAAUACAUUAUAUUAAUAUCGUUUUAUACAUGCAACAUAAUAUAAAUAUAUAUAUACAUGCAAUAGAAUUAAAUAAAUUUGUUACCGACUGAAAAUAAUCAGCAAACGAUGUAGUAGAGAUCGAUUAUAGAUAAGUAUUUACUAUCUACUCAAUUUUAUAAAUAGUUUUCCUUAUAUUUAGUAACGAUAGACUCACUCGUAUUCAUAUAUAUUAUUUAAAUUUUUUUCUUC